rnacentral:rRNA from 1 species
UACGUAGGGUGCGAGCGUUGUCCGGAAUUAUUGGGCGUAAAGAGCUUGUAGGCGGUCUGUCGCGUCUGCUGUGAAAAUCCGGGGCUCAACCCCGGACUUGCAGUGGGUACGGGCAGACUAGAGUGUGGUAGGGGGAGACUGGAAUUCCCGGUGUAGAGGUGAAAUGCGCAGAUAUCAGGAGGAACACCGGUGGCGAAGGCGGGUCUCUGGGCCGAUACUGACGCUGAGGAGCGAAAGCGUGGGGAGCGAACAGG